rnacentral:tRNA from 1 species
UUAGCUCAGCUGGUAGAGCAUCUGACUUUUAAUCAGAGGGUCAGAGGUUCGAAUCCUCUA